AAUAAAACACUUUACUACUACUACUAAGUUGUUUUUGCAACAACUACUAUUAUUGCUUAAUUUAUUUGUUUUAUUUGUUUGUUUGUUUUAUUAUGGUUGCUCUUCCCGUUGUUGUGUUUAGCAGUGUGCAAUAGUACUUUAGUAUCGUUUAUUAUGUAUUAUACUUGGGUGAUUAAUCAACUUGUAUCUAAACAUCACCCUUGUCAGCACCAAACACAUCGAUCUGUAAGAAAGCAAAACCUUAGACUGAAGCUUUACAAAUUUCCCGAUAAAUCGUGACCGCCACUAGACCAGCCUCGACAAAUAUGACAAGAUGAGAGCACUGAACCUGUCACAGUCUACAGAAAGGACACAACACACAUCGCCUUUCAAUGAGCCCAUGAGGCAGAUGGCUAUAUGUACACAAGAGCAUCGCAUCUAAUCCAGUCACUUGGCUCCGGCGCCAGCACCUCUGGGCCUCACCAGUCCCCAGUUUGAUGCCUUUCUGCCAGAGCCAUCCAUUACCGUUCAUUUAGGCGGCGCAGGAUGGACCGCGUAAUGCCAUGAAUAUAGAUUUAUCCAUCUGCUUGCUCGUAAUAUCUUGAUUUCGAGAUAAUUGCAUUGCAGUAGGAUCUGAUGUUUGGCAGUGUUUUCAGGAUGGUGGCAUCGUUGUCAGUCAUACUGUUAUUUUGCAAGUUUUAAAAAUGUUGUCGUUUAUGCUUUUGAGGUCUCCUGCAAUGGGUUUCACCUCCAUUUAAAGUCCAAAGUGAAGUGGAAGUUGCUGAGACUUUUAUUUCAGCAUUUUGAUGUACUUCCAACAGCAACGAAAUAUUGGGUAGGGGGCGGGGCUUUCAUUUUGCGUAUAAUUCCCUUGUUGCAAACUAACAAAAAAAGGGGUGUGGUUAAAAAUAUUGUGCCUGAAGCUGUCAACAUAGAUGGACCGCCACUCCAAAUGGACUCCAAAACAAACCUUUUUUUUUUUUAGUAUAACUGAUGAACUGUUUACCUAAAGAAUAACAAUGUACGCUAGCAAAAUAAACAUUGUAAAUGUUGUGUCACACACACUUUAAGGUUUAAAACUUUCUUAUAUUACACAUUGGAGCUGAUCUUUUUGAACCUCAUUUCCGAGAGCAUAGUCUGCUCUGAUUGAGCACAUGUGUAGUGUAGUGAUCGAUUGACCACUUACAGUGCAUGUUGAAGAUGUAAAGUCCAAUACUAUAUCUCAAUCUGACCUCUGGUGGCUUUCUCUCUAGCUCAAAUAGUGGGAUUUGAACUGACAAUUUGGGAGAAGGGGGCUCUAACUAAAGACCACAUUUCUUUGACAUCAGUCAUUAGUACACCUUUUUAGGCCAGAGAGGGUUAGAUUUACUCACACUUCUACUUUCUGGUCUCUAUUACACAUACCUAUCUUAAAACCCAGUUCCUUUAUGGCACUAAUGUAACCCUCUGGGUCUUUUUACCAUGCUUGAAGCAUGAUUAGAACUGGCAUAUCUGGGAUGGGAAGCGGACAUGCCAAUCAAGGGCAUAGUAAGCGAGGGCAAAAGGGGAAUGGAAUACAUAAGGACCCAAGGGGCCCACAGUAAAGCAAUGCAGUUUUUACCAAGGAAGGGUCACUUCCAUGUACCCCUCCAGCAGAUCUGGUCUCCAUUGCACACCGUUCUUCUAAGACCAAGGAAGUGAGUAUUUAGUUUUUUAUUUUUUCUUACUAGCUGCUCUCUACUACUCUAUUCUCUUUUAAGCAUCAUUCCCAUCCGGGUCACGGCACCAAAAACAACCCCCAAGUUACUUUUGUGAGCAGGAUAUAAAUGAGUUUUUCCUGCACUGCAGUUUGGUAUGUUAAUUUGAAUCAACUUCAAUGGCAUCUUCAAGAUUCAACCACUAGUGUGCAUCUUAAGGCCACGUGAAUGAGGUUUACUUGCACAUUUGAUACUCACUGGCCUCUGUUACAUAUGAAAUGUGUAUUUGUAUU